rnacentral:rRNA from 1 species
GAUGAACGCUGGCGGCGUGCCUAACACAUGCAAGUCGAGCGAGAAACUCAUGACGGAUUCUUCGGAUGACGGAUUGAGCGGACAGCGGCGGACGGGUGAGUAACGCGUGGGUAACCUGCCCUAUACAGGGGGAUAGCAGUUGGAAACGACUAUUAAUACCCCAUACUCUCUAUAUAUCGCAUGAUAAAUAGAGGAAAGAUUUAUCGGUAUAGGAUGGACCCGCGUCUGAUUAGCUAGUUGGUAAGGUAAAGGCUUACCAAGGCGACGAUCAGUAGCCGACCUGAGAGGGUGAUCGGCCACACUGGAACUGAGACACGGUCCAGACUCCUACGGGAGGCAGCAGUGGGGAAUAUUGCACAAUGGGGGAAACCCUGAUGCAGCAACGCCGCGUGAACGAUGAAGGUCUUCGGAUCGUAAAGUUCUUUUCUUGGGGAUGAAAAAAAUGACAGUACUCAAGGAAUAAGCACCGGCUAACUACGUGCCAGCAGCCGCGGUAAUACGUAGGGUGCAAGCGUUAUCCGGAAUCACUGGGCGUAAAGGGUGCGUAGGCGGUAAAGCAAGUCAGAAGUGAAAGGCAAUAGCUCAACUAUUGUAAGCUUUUGAAACUGCUUUACUUGAAUUCAGGAGAGGUAAGUGGAAUUCCUAGUGUAGCGGUGAAAUGCGUAGAUAUUAGGAGGAACACCGGUGGCGAAGGCGACUUACUGGACUGAGAUUGACGCUGAUGCACGAAAGCGUGGGGAGCGAACAGG